rnacentral:rRNA from 1 species
GUAGGGAAUCUUCCACAAUGGACGAAAGUCUGAUGGAGCAACGCCGCGUGAGUGAAGAAGGGUUUCGGCUCGUAAAACUCUGUUGUUAAAGAAGAACAUAUCUGAGAGUAACUGUUCAGGUAUUGACGGUAUUUAACCAGAAAGCCACGGCUAACUACGUGCCAGCAGCCGCGGUAAUACGUAGGUGGCAAGCGUUGUCCGGAUUUAUUGGGCGUAAAGCGAGCGCAGGCGGUUUUUUAAGUCUGAUGUGAAAGCCUUCGGCUCAACCGAAGAAGUGCAUCGGAAACUGGGAAAAUUGAGUGCAGAAGAGGACAGUGGAACUCCAUGUGUAGCGGUGAAAUGCGUAGAUAUAUGGAAGAACACCAGUGGCGAAGGCGGCUGUCUGGUCUGUAACUGACGCUGAGGCUCGAAAGUAUGGGUAGCAAACAGGAUUAGAAACCCGAGUAGUCC